rnacentral:rRNA from 1 species
GUACCUAAUCAGAAAGCCCCGGCUAACUACGUGCCAACAGCCGCGGUAAUACGUAGGGGGCAAGCGUUAUCCGGAAUUAUUGGGCGUAAAGCGCGCGGAGGCGGUUUUUUAAGUCUGAUGUGAAAGCCCGCGGCUCAACCGUGGAGGGGCAUUGGAAACUGGAAAACUUGAGUGCGGAAGAGGAAAGUGGAAUUCCAUGUGUAGCGGUGAAAUGCGCAAAGAUAUGGAGGAACACCGGUGGCGAAGGCGACUUUCUGGUCUGUAACUGACGCUGAUGUGCAAAAGCGUGGGGAUCAAACAGGAUUAAAUACCCUGGUAGUCCACGCCGUAAACGAUGACUGCUAGG